GGGGAUGACAGGCUUCGACGGAGGAGGCUGUUGUUGAACUGCGAGCCGAGAGGCGCCGAACUCGAUAAAUCAGCGCAACAAUAUAACAGGCAAAAAUAAAGCCUAUAACGCUCUUCCGCUAGCUGCAUAAACACAGUUAACCUAAGAGUAGAUUUUCCUUAAUGAAAAUCCGUCCUCUUCAAUCGACAUCAGCCGAAAGAAGCUUGGGCGUCACUUAUGCUGAUGUGCCGCACACGAUGCCGCUAAAUGUGCGAAAGAACAAGCGACUUUAUCGGUUACUUACCCUGUUGAUCGGGGAUUUUCCGAUGAAAAUCAAAUAGACCAACUACGCUCGUAGAUGUUUAGCAAUCAAUCCUUUCGGACCCGAGUUCGAUUCUCGGCAUCUCCACCA
rnacentral:tmRNA from 2 species